rnacentral:rRNA from 1 species
GACGAACGCUGGCGGCGUGCUUAACACAUGCAAGUCGAACGGUAAGGCCCUUCGGGGUACACGAGUGGCGAACGGGUGAGUAACACGUGGGUGAUCUGCCCUGCACUUCGGGAUAAGCCUGGGAAACUGGGUCUAAUACCGGAUAGGACUCCGGACUGCAUGGUCUGGGGUGGAAAGCUUUUGCGGUGUGGGAUGGGCCCGCGGCCUAUCAGCGUGUGGGGGGGGUGAUGGCCUACCAAGGCCACGACGGGUAGCCGGUCUGAGAGGGUGACCGGCCACACUGGGACUGAGAUACGGCCCAGCCUCCUCCGGGAGGCAGCAGUGGGGAAUAUUGCACAAUGGGCGCAAGCCUGAUGCAGCGACGCCGCGUGAGGGAUGACGGCCUUCGGGUUGUAAACCUCUUUCAGCAUCGACGAAGCGAAAGUGACGGUAGGUGCAGAAGAAGGACCGGCCAACUACGUGCCAGCCGCCGCGGUAA